rnacentral:tRNA from 1 species
GAGGGUAUAGCUCAGUGGUAGAGUGCAUGCCUAGCAUGCACAAGGUCCUGGGUUCAAUCCCCAGGACCUUCA